AGUGAACGCUGGCGGUAGGCCUAACACAUGCAAGUCGAACGGCAGCACAGUAAGAGCUUGCUCUUACGGGUGGCGAGUGGCGGACGGGUGAGGAAUACAUCGGAAUCUACUUUUUCGUGGGGGAUAACGUAGGGAAACUUACGCUAAUACCGCAUACGACCUACGGGUGAAAGCAGGGGAUCUUCGGACCUUGUGCGAUUGAAUGAGCCGAUGUCGGAUUAGCUAGUUGGCGGGGUAAAGGCCCACCAAGGCGACGAUCCGUAGCUGGUCUGAGAGGAUGAUCAGGCACACUGGAAGUGAGACACGGUCCAGACUCCGACGGGAGGCAGCAGUGGGGAAUAUUGGACAAUGGGGGAAAGCGUGAUCCAGCCAUACAGCGUGGGUGAAGAAGGCGUGCGGGUUGUAAAGCCAUUUUGUUGGGAAAGAAAAGCAGCAGGUUAAUACCCCGCUGUUCUGACGGUACCCAACGAAUAAGCACCGGCUAACUUCGUG
rnacentral:rRNA from 1 species